rnacentral:tRNA from 1 species
AUAGGAGUAUUCCGGUUGGUCGGAUACCCCGUUUGGAUCGGGGAGGCUGCAGGUUCGAGUCCUGUCUCCUAUACCA